rnacentral:rRNA from 1 species
GCGGACGGGUGAGUAACGCGUGGGUAACCUGCCCUAUGGAGGGGGAUAACACAGAGAAAUCUGUGCUAAUACCGCAUAAGCGCACAGUAUCGCAUGAUACAGUGUGAAAAACUCCGGUGCCAUAGGAUGGACCCGCGUCUGAUUAGCUAGUUGGUGAGGUAAUGGCUCACCAAGGCGACGAUCAGUAGCCGACCUGAGAGGGUGAUCGGCCACAUUGGGACUGAGACACGGCCCAAACUCCUACGGGAGGCAGCAGUGGGGAAUAUUGCACAAUGGAGGAAACUCUGAUGCAGCGACGCCGCGUGAAGGAAGAAGGUUUUCGGAUCGUAAACUUCUAUCAGCAGGGAAGAAAAUGACGGUACCUGACUAAGAAGCCCCGGCUAACUACGUGCCAGCAGCCGCGGUAAUACGUAGGGGGCAAGCGUUAUCCGGAAUUACUGGGUGUAAAGGGAGCGUAGGCGGUAGAGUAAGUUAGAUGUGAAAGCCCAAGGCUCAACCUUGGGACUGCAUUUAAAACUGCUUUACUAGAGUACAGGAGAGGAAAGUGGAAUUCCUAGUGUAGCGGUGAAAUGCGUAGAUAUUAGGAGGAACACCAGUGGCGAAGGCGACUUUCUGGACUGUAACUGACGCUGAGGCUCGAAAGCGUGGGGAGCGAACAGGAUUAGAUACCCUGGUAGUCCACGCCGUAAACGAUGAGUGCUAGGUGUCGGGACGUCAAGUCUCGGUGCCGCAGCUAACGCAAUAAGCACUCCACCUGGGGAGUACGAUCGCAAGAUUGAAACUCAAAGGAAUUGACGGGGGCCCGCACAAGCGGUGGAGCAUGUGGUUUAAUUCGAAGCAACGCGA